rnacentral:pre_miRNA from 2 species
CAUGUACUCCCUCCGUCCCAAAAUAACUGUCUUAAGUUUAAUAUAAUUUUGUAUUAAAGCUAAUACAAAGUGAAGACAGUUAUUUUGGGACGGAGGGAGUAUUUC